AUGAGAGGUCCAGCCUGCCCAGUGACACUGUUCAACGGCCGCGGUAUCCUAACCGUGCGAAGGUAGCGUAAUCACUUGUCCUUUAAAUGGGGACUAGUAUGAAUGGCACCACGAGGGUUAUACUGUCUCCUUUUUCUGAUCAGUGAACCUAAUCUCCCCGUGAAGAAGCGGGGAUACAUCUAUAAGACGAGAAGACCCUAUGGAGCUUUAAACAAAACAACAUUUGCUAAGUCCCCCAUGAAUCUCAGGAACCUCCUCCCCCUUAUUUUAGCUCUAUGAUUGUUAGUUUUAGGUUGGGGUGACCGCGGAGCAAAAAACAACCUCCACAAUGAAUGGGGACCUCCCCUAAGCAGAAAGCCACAACUUUACGCAUCAACAAAUUGACAUUAAUUGACCCAAUAUUUUGAUCAACGAAACAAGUUACCCUAGGGAUAACAGCGCAAUCCACUUCGAGAGCCCCUAUCGACAAGUGGGUUUACGACCUCGAUGUUGGAUCAGGG
rnacentral:rRNA from 1 species